GGGGGGUGUGUUUCUUACUCGUAAUUUUCUAAAAAAGAUUAUUUUUCUUCUUUAGAAAGCGGUUGGCACUGAUUCUGUACUAAAAGUCUCCUAAUUCUUGCUUGAUCUUCUCAACUUUAAUAUUGUUGGCAAGUUCUUUACAAUGAAAUAGGGGAUUUCUCAUUAGUUCAACAAGAAGCACCAGAAGAGUUGCAGUUAUGUAAAUGCGGUUUCUAAUGGCUGGCCCAAGAUAGAAUUACUCGCACUAUAACUGCAAAGUUCAGUUAAUUACAAACCAGCAUUAUCUAAUUUUGGCUAACUACAGGGCUUUAUUAGGCGUGAGCUUUUACUAGCAUGGAAGAUGUUUUUUUUUUUUGAAAAAUAUGUUUUUUUUUAAAAUAUGCUUUUUUUUCUUGUUUCUAUAACUGUAUGAUGUUAAAUAAUAUACUUUCAUAUAAUGCGCAAAUGGUUUCUAAUACUUCUACAAAGCUGAUAAACUGUUUACUUGUUUCAUGUUUUAACCGUUUACUAUGUGCUUAGUUAUAUGUUUUCUCCUCCCUACUGCAUUUUUAAUUUUGAGGCUUAUGUUUGUGUUACUUCAUUUUCAUAAAGUAAAUGGCAGUAGGUUUUAUUUCAAAGGAUUAUUUUGGAUAAGUACUCAUUAUUUCAAAUUGCAUGGACGUUUUAAAGUUUACUCUUUAUUUCCAUUUCCAGCUCAACAAAAUGCCAAGAAGCUCACUGGAAAUCUGGGCAUAAGUCAAAAUGCAAGGAUUUUGUCAGUUUAAAUUCAACACCAAAUUCAAAAUCCAACUUCGGGUUAAAAGCUUCAGGUGUUGGAGGUAGAACCUUUUCUGGCAUUGCGCUGGUUCCUGCCACUGGGCCCACUAAGCUUGUUAAGAAGCCAAGAAAGGUUCUUUUCCCCUAUGAUAUCUUUAUUAAACUUUACAAGUGGGACAAAGUAACAUUCCCUCCUUGUGGGCUCUUAAAUUGUGGAAACAGUUGCUUUGCCAAUGUGGUUCUGCAAUGCCUCACAUUCACACGGCCACUUGUUGGCUACUUGUUGGAGAAAGGUCAUCAAAGAGAAUGUGGGCGCAAUGAUUGGUGCUUUCUUUGUGAAUUUCAAGAACAUGUUGAAAGAGUAAGCAAAAAUUCGCAUUCCUUUUCACCUAUGAGUAUCCUGUCUCGCUUGCCCAACAUUGGUGGUAAUCUUGGUUAUGGAAGACAAGAGGACGCUCACGAGUUUAUGAGGUUUGCCAUUGAUACGAUGCAAUCAGUGUGCCUUGAUGAAUUUGGUGGAGAAAAAGCUGUCUAUCCUGCCUUUCAAGAAACAACUUUUAUUCAACAUGUAUUUGGUGGUCACCUACAAUCUCAGGUGAUAUGUACAAAAUGUGACAAGAUUUCAAAUCAGUUUGAAAAUAUGAUGGAUUUAACUGUUGAAAUACACGGCGAUGCUGCAUCCUUGGAGGAAUGUCUUGAUCAAUUCACGGUCAAAGAGUGGCUUCAUGGAGAAAAUAUGUACAAAUGUGAUGGGUAUUCCCUUGCCCUGUCCUAUUUGCUUGCAACAUUAGAUUGUUUACUUUGAAUGUUCUUUUUAGAAUUUGUUCGUUGUAUAGUGUGAACAUUGAGCACUGCACUUUAUGUACACAAUCUUUGACGAUCAUGUUUGCUUUUAAGCAACUGAUGGGGCCUUUUAUCUUUUUUAAUCCUCUAGUUGAGCCAUAGCUGUUGCUUUACAAUAAUUUCAAAUGGUAAUGGGAUUUGACCGGGUUUGAGAGUUGAAUUUAUACCUUAGAUUUGUGUGACAGCUAACUUUUUUAAAAAGGUAAUUGUUGAGGUUGUUUCAGUCAGAAAUUUAUAUUUUCAUUUAGUUACAGCUGUGAUUGGGCAUGUGGAUUGAUAGAGAUGUAAUAUUUUACUAAGCCCCUACCCAUUUGGCAUUUGGAAUUUUGUUUCUUAUUUUAGAAAGUUUGCUUCCCAUUUAGUGUUGGUUUGUAAUUUUCCUAGCCUGGGAUUACCAACUCAUAUGUGAUUAGUAAUCAUUAAAUCCUGUAUAUACCUAUUUAUGUUAGUUUUUCUCAUUUUUGGCAAUGGAAAUUUCAGUGUUUCUCUGCUGCUGCAAUGCCUAGGUUCCUUUUCUCCUCUUCUUCUGAUUCUUUUUCUCUGCUGCCACAGUACCAAGGUUACUGUUCCCAGAUUCAAAACAGUCACCGGUUUCUCCUAUUUUCACUUCAAUCAGUUUUAUUCAAACUCUUAACGCUAGUAUCCUUAUUUAAAUCUUGACCAUAAAUCUCAUCAAUUCUGGAGAUUUGCCCACUAUAAAAGCAUUAGUAGGUUACUUGCAUAACCUAUCCUACUUCAACUUCUCCUUGAUAUCCUUAUUGGUCGUGCCUUGUUGACAUGUGGACAAAAUGCUGGGGGUUGAACUUGAGAAAGUAUUCGAUUUUAUAGCUUUUCAUUGAUAGAUGGGAUGGAAUGCAGGAAAAUGACUUGUUUAGCCAACCCCUAGUUCUUUCUUCUCUCCCUUUGUCCCUAUUAGUUUGUGAUGAAAGUUUAAUUGAGUUAGAGUUUUGAGUUCAAUACGUCUUGCACAAAAUUCUUUUGUCUUUCAUAUUGAUCCCCUAUAAUAUUUCAAACCCAGUAGAAUUAUCAUUGACAUUAUUACAGAUAAAAUAAAAUGGUUUACAAGUUGGCAACGAAUUUCUACGUUUUUUAUGUCUCCAUUUUAUUAUGUUAUUAGAGGCAAUUUACUCUUGUUUGCAGGUGCAAUGACUAUGUCAAGGCAUGGAAGCGUCUAACCAUUCAUCGGGCUCCAAAUAUUCUCACAAUUGCCUUAAAAAGAUUUCAGAGUGGGAGGUUCGGAAAACUUAACAAAAGGGUAACCUUUCCUGAGACAUUAGAUCUGAGCCCCUAUACGAGUGACGGUGAUGGUACAGAUUUAUACAAGCUUUAUGCUGUUGUGGUCCAUGUGGAUAUGCUGAAUGCUUCAUUUUUUGGUCAUUACAUCUGCUAUAUUAAGGAUUUCCAUGGAAACUGGUACAGAGUUGAUGACUGUAAGGUUCAAAAUGUUGAAUUGGAGGAAGUUCUUUCUCAGGAGGCAUAUAUGCUUUUAUAUAGCAGGUAUCGAGCUAAUACCUAGCAUCUACUGGUUAACAUCCAAUCUCAAUUGCAUAUUUGAGUUUUGCAUAUAUCUAUGAAUUUUGUGCAUCUACAAUAUGGUUGCUUGGUAUAAUCAUGCAGUUGGCUGACUAGAUGCAUGAAUGUUCACAAAUAUUCAAACUUCCGGAAAAGAAUGGAGCCAAUAAAAAUAUGGCAUGGAAGAUUGAUGUUUUGUUAUUACGUUUGGCUCAAGCAAUGUUGCAUUUCUGGACUGCGUGGUACUUCAGAGCCAAUUGUCAAUGGAUCCAGAAGGGGUUAAGUGGCUUGACUUGGUGGCAAUGAUUUGAGAUCUCCUGUUUCCUUCAAUUU
rnacentral:misc_RNA from 1 species